rnacentral:rRNA from 1 species
GAUGAACGCUGGCGGCGUGCCUAAUACAUGCAAGUCGAGCGAACAGACGAGGAGCUUGCUCCUUUGAUGUUAGCGGCGGACGGGUGAGUAACACGUAGGUAACCUACCUAUAAGACUGGGAUAACUUCGGGAAACCGGAGCUAAUACCGGAUAAUAUUUCGAACCGCAUGGUUCGAUAGUGAAAGAUGGCUUUGCUAUUACUUAUAGAUGGACCUGCGCCGUAUUAGCUAGUUGGUAAGGUAACGGCUUACCAAGGCAACGAUACGUAGCCGACCUGAGAGGGUGAUCGGCCACACUGGAACUGAGACACGGUCCAGACUCCUACGGGAGGCAGCAGUAGGGAAUCUUCCGCAAUGGGCGAAAGCCUGACGGAGCAACGCCGCGUGAGUGAUGAAGGUCUUCGGAUCGUAAAACUCUGUUAUUAGGGAAGAACAAACGUGUAAGUAACUGUGCACGUCUUGACGGUACCUAAUCAGAAAGCCACGGCUAACUACGUG